GGGGGUGCCAUAAGACUUGCUAACUCUUUAACCUGGAAUAACCACCAGCACCCUCUA
rnacentral:tRNA from 1 species